GGCUCAACCUCGCCGAUUAUUGGAUUUUGGGUUGUGCCCGUGGGUGGUGCUAUUGGGCUGCUCGGCAGUGAUAGGUGGUCGAGAGAAAGAAAGAGAGAGACAGAUGAAGAGAGACAAAAAUUAGAGAGAGGAGAUAAAUGGGAGAGAAUAGAGAUGGUUUUGAGUUAUAUUAUUUUAUUGUAUAGAUAUUUUGUUUUAAUAUGUUGUAUAGGAAUAUAAAAGUUGGGAUGUUGGGUGUGUUGUAAAAUGGUAUGGUAUAAUAGAUAAAGUAGCUUUUGAGAUGAUAAAAUAGAAUAA